rnacentral:misc_RNA from 1 species
AUUACAUAUGCAUAUAGUGUUAAUUCUAUAAAAAUGUAGUAUCAACUCACAAAGUUAUCAGGUUAAAUUAGCUUUAUCAAUGAAUAAAAAUGUUGUUGCACAGCUAAUAAUAUCAUACCGUGGUCCCGCGCCACGGUAUCUAGAAAAAUUUUUAAUAUUUAGAUUCUUGCUUCCGCAGGAAUGACAAAUUUAGUCAUGUAACAACAUUAACAGC